rnacentral:rRNA from 1 species
AUGGAGGAUCUGGUUCCUGCCAAGGCAUUCUAUUCGGCUGCAGCUGUUGGCAUGGAGCCGGAUCACAGAGGCCUGAUGGCGAUCGUGCGCGAAGAGCCACCGCCAUCGGAGGAGCCGAUGGACCUGCUGUCGAGCGCGUGGUGCAGCUCGGCGAUCCAAGUUCUUCAGACGGGUCCGAAGGAGGAGGAUCGCUCGCUAGCGCUGGUGGAGCACCCUGUCAUUGGGCUUGACGAUGAUAGGAGAGACCUGUCGCAGCUGCAGAGGAAUGAUCGUAGCUUGGUUGUUGACGACAGCGGCUUCGGUGGCACGACGCAACCGCAAUGGAAAUACGACGAUCUGAAGUCAUGGAUAUGGCUGCAGAAGGCCAUUCACCCGGAGCUGGACUACGACAACAAGAAGAAAUGGCUCCCGCGCAAGAUGUCGGCGCCGUGGAGCGGCAUCUCGCUCAAGAAGUGGGUCAAGGAGCGGAAGCAGAAGCGCAAGGAGGAGGCGCGGCUGCACAGGGCCGAGGUCCACGCCGCGGUGUCCGUCGCGGGCGUCGCGGCCGUGCUCGCCGCCAUCGCCGCGGAGAACUCCGCGCCCGCGGCGCGCGGCUCGGCGUCGGCGUCGAUGAGGGAGACGGCGGUGGCCUCGGCCGCCGCGCUCGUGGCGGCGCAGUGCGCCAAGGUGGCCGAGGCCGCGGGCGCCACGCGGGACCAGGUCGCCGCGGCAGUCAACGCCGCCGUGGCCGCCACCGACGCCAGCAACGUGAUCACGCUCACCGCCGCCGCCGCCACCUCACUGCGGGGCGCGGCGGCGCUGCGAGGGAGGCGCGGCGGCAGCGGCGGCCAUGGGCAGAGCGAGAGGGCGGACCAGGGUGGCACGGCGCCGUGGCAGGACGACCUGGACUUCGACUUCAACUACGCGAGGUCCAAGGCGGCGCUGGCCAAGGGCGACGAGCUGUUCGUCGCGAUGCCUGACGGCAAGUGGAAGCUGCACACGGUGUCCGCGGCCACGGACAGGAACGGCAAGGUCGUCCUCCGGAUCAAGAAGAUGAACUUGGUCAUGCAGGCCUUCUCCAACACCAAAGAAUGCGUGGUGGAGGACGUCCGGCCGUGCGCGCCGGAGAAGGCGAGCCGGGAGGGGGACGCGACGUACCCGGUGGAGGUGAGGACGAGCAGGGGCAAGGUGGAGCUCCGCGCCGACGACUACGCCGUGUACAAGAGGUGGGUCACCACCGUGACGCACAUGCUCACCUCCUCCACCGCCAUCACCAUGCGCAAUUAA